rnacentral:rRNA from 1 species
GACGAACGCUGGCGGCGUGCCUAAUACAUGCAAGUUGAGCGCUGAAGGUUGGUACUUGUGCCGAAUGGAUGAGCAGCGCACGGGUGAGUACCGCGUGGGGAGUCUGCCUUUGAGCGGGGACAACAUUUGAAACCGAAUGCUAAUACCGCAUAAAAACUUUAAACCCAAGUUUUAAGUUUGAUCUAUGCAAUUGCAUCACUCAAAGAUGAUCCCGCGUUGUAUUAGCUAGUUGGUGAGGUAAAGGCUCACCCAGGCGAUGAUACAUAGCCGACCUGAGAGGAUGAUCAGCCACAUGGGGACGGAGACACGGCCCAAACUCCUAAGGGAGGCAGCAGUAGGGAAUCUUCGGCAAUGGACGAAAGUCUGACCGAGCAACGCGGCGAGAGUGAAGAAGGGUAUCGGAUCGUAAAAGUCGGUUGGUAGAGAAGAACGUUGGUGAGAGUGGAAAGCUCAUGAAGUGACGGUAACUACCCAGAAAGGGACGGCUAACUACGUG